AUGGAUCCCAGCUGCUCCUGCGCCCCGGUGACUCCUGCACCUGCGCACUGGCUCCUGCAAGUGCAAAGAGUGCAAAUGCACCUCCUGCAAGAAACGCUGCUGCUCCUGCUGCCCUGUGGGCUGUGCCAAGUGUGCCCAGGGCUGCAUCUGCAAAGGGGCGUCGGACAAGUGCAGCUGCUGUGCCUGA